UCGAUCCAAAGUUAUUGUUAUCAUUGUGCAGAGAUAAUCGGGGAUGCCACCCUCGUGAAUAUAUGCAAAAAAGGGAGUGGGACCAAACAGCGCAUGCUCGAGUUACUAUAGGAGGGGUUACGAGCCAUCCGGGGAAAUUGAUUGAUCCUUUCAUUCUGCUUCGAGUCGUCCUAUAAGCACGUUCUCGUGAGCUCUUGAAGAUGGACGGCCAGGAGUAAUAUAAAAGCGCCUCUCCAGUCGCGAUAAUGGAAACCAUCUGUAGCAUUUUAAGCAACACACUCUCGCAUAUAGUUUUUCAUGCGCUGUUACCACACACUUUGUGAGAAGUCAAUAUUCCUUAUAUACCCGUCAAGAAGAGUGGACCGCAUAAUUCAAGAAACCAUUAAAGAGGAAUAUCAAUGUCCACCACGAGCAGUUAUUCUUGGCAAUUUGCUACGGCAGCGACAGAGCUUCGAUGUUUCGAAAGUCGGAGUAGAAAGGAUGACUGAUCCGGCAACUGUCCAAAUCAAUCAUUUUACGACUUUACAGAGAGCAACCGAUCGCCAUUUCGAAAUUUAAGUCUAUCGGAAAAUAUAUUAAAAAUAUUUGUUGCUUCGUAGGCGUCCCGUGGGGCGUUUAACGGAAUGUUACUAAAACAGUGGUUUAUUUAACUUCUCGUAAAUCUAUUUCCUUCACAUGGAUUUAAAAUUACCGAAAGUAUUAAGUUGGAAGUUUUCACUUGUGGGAAGUGAAGACAACCUUCUAAUUCAUUCAAAGGACUGGCUGUAUAAAAGCAAUAAUGAUCCCGCCGAAUAAUAAAUUGAGAUAAUGAUAAAUGAAGAAAAGAAGCAUUAAAAUAGGCUUUAUCUUAUCGAGAGUGUUGUUUAAAAUGAUUCAGACGAUAUAGUCCAUUAUCGUGCCUGGGGGGGUGCUUAUAUAUCGUUCCAUCUUCUGGAGUUCCUAGAACCUGCAUGGAUGACUACGACAGUCAGAAUCAACAGCUUGUAUUACUCUUUAAAGAACACAAUAAAUUCAAUGAUCAAAUUAAAUUUUUUUAUCAUUUAUUUCGGCCAGCACUAUUUUGCAGAUAUUAACGAGAUGUUAUGUCAUCCGCGGUAAUCUCAUCACAAUGUUACC